GGAUUAGAUACCCUGGUAGUCCACGCUGUAAACGAUGAGAACUAGAUGUUGGGAGGGUCUGCCUUUCAGUGUCGCAGCUAACGCGUUAAGUUCUCCGCCUGGGGAGUACGGCCGCAAGGCUGAAACUCAAAGGAAUUGACGGGGACCCGCACAAGCGGUGGAGCAUGUGGUUUAAUUCGAUGCAACGCGAAGAACCUUACCUGCCCUUGACAUACAGAGAACUUUCUAGAGAUAGAUUGGUGCCUUCGGGAAUUCUGAUACAGGUGCUGCAUGGCUGUCGUCAGCUCGUGCCG
rnacentral:rRNA from 1 species